rnacentral:rRNA from 1 species
CACGUAGUUAGCCGUGACUUCCUCGCCGGGUACCAUCACUCAGAAAGCUUUCCACUCUUUCUGCCUUUUGUCCCCGGCAACAGAGCUUUACGAUCCGAAGACCUUCCUCGCUCACGCGGCAUUGCUCGUUCAGGGUUCCCCCCAUUGACGAAAAUUCCCUACUGCGGCCUCCCGCAGGAGUCUGGGCCGUGUCUCAGUCCCAGUGUGGCCGUCCGCCCUCUCAGGCCGGCUAUGCAUCGUCGCCUUGGUGAGCCGUUACCUCUCCAACCAGCUAAUGCACCGCAGGUCCAUCUGCAUGCGGGACUCUUCGUCCCCUUUUACCAAAAAGAGAUGCCUCCUCUUUGCUCAUCCGGUAUCAGUCUUCCGUUUCCAGUAAGUUCUCCCGCUCAUGCAGGCAGGUUCCCUAGUGUUACCUCACCCGUUCGCCUACUCAUACUCCGAAGAUACUCCGUUCGACUUGCAUGUAUUAGGCAGUCGCCGCAGUCGUCACUCUGACGC